rnacentral:lncRNA from 1 species
AGGGGUCGAGACGGCGAAGAGGUCAUGAGUCUCUUGCACGUCAUGCGGCUAAGGCAGAAAGAGGGGCCGUGGCCAACCCUAGCCUUGGCGUUAGACCUGUUCUACUUGGCUCCGCUGGGCCUUGGCUGCUCGGGCCUUCGCUAGCUGAUGUGUCGUGGGCUGCUUGGCCUGCUAAUUAAUCGAUGUCUUGAGACACCCCUGGGUUAUAACCCCGAUAGGUUCCAUACAAUUAAACCCCCCCUAUUCCAAACCAAGCCAUAGUAGGGUCCUAAAAAAAAGUUUUUCUAACCAAACACACACACUAGGUGAGACCUGACCAAUGCUCUAACCACCUACCUACCCUUAGCUAGAGCUCGACCUAAGGCAUGAAGCUUCCGUGCACCCACAAGACACCACAAGUGGUGUUCAUCACCAAAGGCACGCAACGGUCAUUCAUAUUGGGACCGGCAAACUCAAAGACACAGGCAUUCUUGUGUUUCCUUUGUGUUCAAAUUUACAUGAGGGGACUAGUGUUCGGCCCCAAUUAUCCAUUCUUUCCUACACAAGCUAUCAAAGGAGCAAUACAUCAUGUUCCUGUGAAGAUUGUACAUAAGGCUCUUCGGCAGAUUACCUAUGCCCAGAGAGCUAAUAUUGACAUAGAAGCAGAUCCAAGCACCAGGCUAACAUGUCUUCUUCAAUUUUAGCUAUGCUGACAUCAUCUUGUUAUGAAUUACUUUGC